rnacentral:rRNA from 1 species
GUAAGGAAUAUUGGACAAUGGACGCAAGUCUGAUCCAGCCAUGCCGCGUGAAGGAUUAAGGUCCUCUGGAUUGUAAACUUCUUUUAUAAGGGACGAAAAAAGGCUUUUCUAAGUCGUCUGACGGUACCUUAUGAAUAAGCACCGGCUAACUCCGUGCCAGCAGCCGCGGUAAUACGGAGGGUGCAAGCGUUAUCCGGAUUCACUGGGUUUAAAGGGUGCGUAGGCGGGCAGGUAAGUCAGUGGUGAAAUCCUAGAGCUUAACUCUAGAACUGCCAUUGAUACUAUCUGUCUUGAAUAUUGUGGAGGUAAGCGGAAUAUGUUAUGUAGCGGUGAAAUGCUUAGAUAUGACAUAGAACACCUAUUGCGAAGGCAGCUUACUACGCAUAUAUUGACGCUGAGGCACGAAAGCGUGGGGAUCAAACAGGAUUAGAUACCCUUGUAGUCC